rnacentral:tRNA from 1 species
GUUCUUGUAGUUGAAUAACAACGAUAGUUUUUCAGAUUAGAGGUCUUAGUUAGAGUCUAAGUAGGAAUUA